GAUGGCAAUGAAGACUUAGGAAAAUUCAAGCUCAACAGACCGGAAUGCAAUCUUAUCUCUCAGAGAUUUGUUUUGCGGUGUCGAUAUUCCCGCUGAACUGAGCUAUC